GAUGAAGAACGCAGCGAAAUGCGAUACGUAAUGUGAAUUGCAGAAUUCAGUGAAUCAUCGAAUCUUUGAACGCAUAUUGCGCUCUCUGGUAUUCCGGAGAGCAUGCUUGUUUGAGUAUCAGUAAACACCUCAACUUCCAUAUAUUUUUUGAAAUGGGAGUUGGACUUGAGUGAUCCCAACGCUUUUCCUCACCGAAAAGUGGCGGGUUACUUGAAAUGCAGGUGCAGCUGGACUUUUCUCUGAGCUAUAAGCAUAUCUAUUUAGUCUGCCUAAAAAACAGAUUAUUACCUUUGCUGCAGCUAACAUAAAGGAGAUUAGUUCUUGUGCUGACUGAUGCAGGAUUCACAAAGACAGCUUCGGCCGACUUUGUAAACUCGAUCUCAAAUCAAGUAAGACUACCCGCUGAACUUAAGCAUAUCAAUAAGCGGAGGA
rnacentral:misc_RNA from 1 species